rnacentral:rRNA from 1 species
AGGACGAACGCUGGCGGCGUGCCUAAUGCAUGCAAGUCGCACGCACCGCGCUUGCGCGGUGAGUGGCGCACGGCUGAGGAUCACGUGGGAACAUGCCUCCUUGUGGGGGACAACACCGCGAAAGCGGUGCUAAUCCCGCAUACGCUCGGGCAACCGAGGAAAGCGUGUAAACGCGCAGGGAGAGUGGCCCGCGGCCCAUCAGGUCGUUGGUGGGUAAUGGCCUACCAAGCCGGUGACGGGUAGCUGGUCUGUGAGGACAACCAGCCAGACUGGGACUGAGACACGGCCCAGACUCCUACGGGAGCAGCAGCAAGGUAAUUUCGACAAGUGGGCGCAAGCCUGAACGAGCAACGCCGCGUGGAGAUGACGGCGUUCGGGUUGUAAACUCCGUUUGGCGGGUACGAGUGAUCGACCGGUACCCCGACGAAUA